rnacentral:rRNA from 1 species
ACUCAGUGAAAUUGAACUCGCUGUGAAGAUGCAGUGUACCCGCGGCAAGACGGAAAGACCCCGUGAACCUUUACUAUAGCUUGACACUGAACAUUGAGCCUUGAUGUGUAGGAUAGGUGGGAGGCUUAGAAGUGUGGACGCCAGUCUGCAUGGAGCCGACCUUGAAAUACCACCCUUUAAUGUUUGAUGUUCUAACGUUGACCCGUGAUCCGGGUUGCGGACAGUGUCUGGUGGGUAGUUUGACUGGGGCGGUCU